rnacentral:rRNA from 1 species
UACGUAGGGGGCAAGCGUUGUCCGGAUUUAUUGGGCGUAAAGAGCGUGUAGGCGGCAAGGCAGGUCGGUUGUGAAAACUGGAGGCUUAACCUCCAGACGUCGACCGAAACCAUCUGGCUAGAGUCCGGAAGAGGAGAGUGGAAUUCCUGGUGUGGCGGUGAAAUGCGCAGAUAUCAGGAAGAACACCAGUGGCUAAGGCGGCUCUCUAGUACGGUACUGACGCUGAGACGCGAAAGCGUGGGGAGCGAACAGG